CUCAUUUUAUUGCAGCACAAAAAAAAGAGACUCCAAGGUAAUAUUUACUUUGCUUUACAUUUCAUAAAAAAAAGAAGACUGUAAUUUCAUGGAGGCUCUAACAGGAAUUCCUCUUUCCAUCCAAGCGGAAGAAAUUGUGUUCAGGACCUUUCCCCGAGGGCUCGAGGAAAGCACUUGAACAUGGAAACUCCCACUCCACUUUAUUUGUGAGUUAGCCCUGCAGGAGGAUGAGGCAGGAGUUGAGACGCUAUAAGUGGACUAAGUGGCCAAAGCCUGUGACAUUAAGGAGUAGGAAAGGAUGCUGAGAGGAUAAUCUCAGAGAUGCAGCUCUCCAGCUGAUGAAAAUCAGAAGAGCCAGAUAAUCACUGAGAGGGAUUCCCACCUAGAAAGAAGGCAAUUGCAGGGGCUUUAAGAAAAAGGGUGCAGUAGUUGCUCCAGUUCUGCCUGUCAUUCCUGCACCACUGCCUUUCCAAGCACUGUCUCUUAAGAUGCUGGAGGAGGGGCUGAGGCCCUUUUAAUGAAGUGAAAGGAUGAGCGGGAGGCUGACCAGAACAGCAGUGGAAAGAGCAAAGACACAUGCUGAGAGCCCUGUGCAUGGGGAAACCAGAGCCGCAGCUUGUUCCAGACCCCGGAGCCUCUGAAGCACAGAUGUCUCCAGGAAAUCUUCAUGCUUCACCCCAACAGAGCUCUGGCCAGGAAAAGAAUCUCCUUGGUCUAUUUUAAGUUGUAAAAGGAAAGAAUAUGAGACUCUUCCUAAAUUCUUGAAACCGGUAUCUGGGCCUCUGGGAAUGAAGAAAGACUCUGACUGUGACUGCAUUUAGGGAAGUCGAGAGGUUGAUUUGAUGUCGGUGUUGAUGCGGCGCGCUCCCAAAUGUGGUGCAGCAGCUGUGAGCCAGAGCUACAAAUCCCCAGCAAACAGACAGGACAGCCCAGCGCCGAGCCCGGCUCGUGCUGCAGAUAUGGCUCUCCAGGACUGCUGCGCUGUGAACUGAACGACACCGAGGCGCUACCAAAAAGCACAAACAGCAAAGUCUGCGCUGGAGGAAAGCAAAGCGCAAAGCGAAACCGGUAGACAGCGAACUGAUGAAACAACUCGUUAGAAAGAGAGGUUUGUAUUAGGAAUUUCCUAGUUUGUUGGUAAACCCAUUUCAGUGGCCUCAGCUUUGCUGUCACCCACGUGGACGUGGAAAGGUUUUGGCUGAGAAUGAUCUAUUCAGCAAAGAUGCAAAUUCCGUAUUGCAGCCCCUGUAUUCACAGCAGCGAAUUUGAGCAGCACAGCAGAGAAUACGGCUCUGCUUUCCUCGGUGAGUUUCCCACCUACAUCAGAUCUAUUUACUCUUCCCUGCUCCAUAUGAAAUAAGAAAAUAGGGAAGGAGCUUUCAGCCCUCGCACCCUGAAGCCCGAUGUCCGUUUGUUGCUGUUCCCAUUGGGACGAACAGCAGCGCAGCGCAGUGCGGCUGAUGGGCUUUGGGUCCAUUGCACAGGGAUUGGGCACUCACACUCAGCCUGCAGAGUUCAGAGCUACAUCGCCGUGAUUUUGGAGGGCUUGGAUCAGCUCUUUUUGUUUCCCUAGAGGCAGCGCUAUCCUAUGGGAUGUGUAAUUACUCAGUGCUGUCUUUCAUUAUGGAAUUAUCAAAAGGGCAGUUACCAUUCCUGAUGAAUGUUUUUUGUUUCAUCAGCAGGCUGAUAUUUCAGUUUUGGUCAGGGAACAAGAAAGCAGCUUCACUCAAAGCAGAACAUCCAGCUUCAUGCCACUGGAUCGUAAUUUCACACAUAAGCAACUGCUGUGGGAACAAAGGACAGAGCAUCCUGAGCUUGCUGAAGGACUGCACUGACCUGAGAGGAGGAGGGCGUGAGAUCUAAGGACAGCUUCAGCCCACAGGGGGCACAACAUUUCUCCCCCUAUCUCUAUUUUUAUGAUUCUUUAAGCAAGCAUUUUGCACCUGGCAGCUCUGAGAAACUCCGCGCUGCUCUGAGCUGCUGCUUCCUUGCAGGAUCGGGCAUUUAAUGAGCUCUCAGCAGCCUGAUCCCGUUAGCACUUGCUCAAGUAAAUAACUGGUGAUAUUGCUACACAGCCAAAAUUACUGGUCAAACUAAAGAUUAACUCCAGCCCUUCAGAGUGACCAUGAGUCUGCAGCUGAACUUUUCACAAGGUUCCUUAAAAAGAGCCAGGAGUGGAGAUGGCUGGAGAGGAUGCUUCACUGGGCAGUUGGGAGGAGCGUCCAUAUUGAAGAUUUUCACCACAGACAGAGUUUAUGUUCUGGAUCCAACAAACCCUUGGUUGCCAAUGAAUUCCCUCCCGGGUAAUCCCAUCAAGUCGCUCUGUGAAGGGUCAGCCCUAUAUGCACCUCAACUGCAGGUCAGCAACUCGCACACACAAUGCCCCUUAUACAUAUAUGCAAUUUAAAAGAUCGGACCCUUCACCAGAGCUUACUUCUAAGGGUUGGCUGUACAUGAAACUGAAGAAACCCACUUAAGGAACCAACUUUUUCCCCCUGGAAGCAAACAGGAGCACGUGGAGUCAUAGAACUCUAUCUGGCUAUCGACAUUGGACGCACAAAAGACACGUCAGUGUGGCAUUUCCUACCCCAUGAAGCCACUUUCCCCUCCAUGCCUGCUCUACAAAUACAAUAGAGCAUUGAUUGAAUCUUAAACUCACCAGACUUCAAUAAAUUCUGACCAUGUAAGAAAUUAAAGUCGAAGCGAGGGACACGCAGAGUGUUAGUCCUUCUCAAAAUAAUAAUUUAAUAACCCUCCAAAAAGUAUAGUGGUUUAGGAAAGGCAACCCAGAUGGGAACAUAUAAAAUAAAGCUAUAAAGUUUCCUUCAAAUGUAUUUUAAUCAUUGUUAAAUAUUUACAUUUAAUAAGCACUCGUUUUUAUUGCAAGAGAGAUGUAAUUACACUUAUCAUCCGUGGAAAAAUGGACUUUUAAUAGCCUGUACAUUGAUUUGCUAAGAUGAAAUAGUGUCACAGAAAUAUGUCACUCCCUCUCCCCUGGGAAUACAUACCACAUGUGAAUGUAAAACAGAUGAGGGGUUUUUAUCAGUGCUCUAUCAGCUCUAUUCCUCGUUGUCUCUGUUAUAGUCAAUACAAAUCUUUAGGGCAGAUGUUUUGCUAACUAGAAAGAGCCUGUCAUAAUGUUGCAUCCUUGCUAAUAAGGUCAUUUAUUCAGUAAACACCAACAGGAGGAGCAGCACCACCUUGAUAUCAACCCACGGGAGCUGCAGGGAAGCUCUUUGUGGUGCACAGUGCAUGCACCCUUUGGAU
ensembl:lncRNA